UGGGGGAUAUUGCACAAUGGGCGAAAGCCUGAUGCAGCGACGCCGCGUGGGGGAUGAAGGCCUUCGGGUUGUAAACUUCUUUUGCUCUGAACAAGGCGCACCAUGGGGUGUGUUGAGUGUAGGGGUUGAUUAGCGCCGGCUAACUACGUGCCAGCAGCCGCGGUAAUACGUAGGGCGCGAGCGUUGUCCGGAAUUAUUGGGCGUAAAGGUCUUGUAGGUGGCUGGUUGCGUCUGUCGUGAAAGCUCAUGGCUUAACUGUGGGUUUGCGGUGGGUACGGGCUGGCUUGAGUGCAGUAGGGGAGGCUGGAAUUCCUGGUGUAGCGGUGGAAUGCGCAGAUAUCAGGAGGAAUACCGGUGGCGAAGGCGGGUCUCUGGGCUGUUACUGACACUGAGGAGCGAAAGCAUAGGGAGCGAACAGG
rnacentral:rRNA from 1 species